CGGGGUAACUGCCCACCAAGCCGAUAAUCUGUACGGGUUGUGAGAGCAAGAGCCCGGAGAUGGAAUCUGAGACACGAUUCCAGGCCCUACGGGGCGCAGCAGGCGCGAAAACUUUACAAUGCAGGAAACUGUGAUAAGGGAACCCCGAGUGCCCGUAUAUGCGGGCUGUCCGGAUGUUUAAAACGCAUCCGAAGAAAGGGCCGGGCAAGACCGGUGCCAGCCGCCGCGGUAAUACCGGCGGCUCGAGUGGUGGCCACUUUUAUUGGGCUUAAAGCGUUCGUAGCUUGAAUAAUAAGUCUCUUGGGAAAUCUGCAGGCUUAACCUGCAGGCGUUUAAGAGAAACUGUUGUUCUAGGAACCGGAAGAGGUGAGAGGUACUCCGGGGGUAGGAGUGAAAUCCUGUAAUCCCCGGGGGACCACCGAUGGCGAAGGCAUCUCACCAGGACGGCUUCGACAGUGAGGAACGAAAGCUGGGGGAGCGAACCGGAUUAGAUACCCGGGUAGUCCCAGCCGUAAACGAUGUGCGUUAGGUGUGCCGGUGACCACGAGUCACUGGGGUGCCGAAGGGAAACCGUGAAACGUACCGCCUGGGAAGUACGGUCGCAAGGCUGAAACUUAAAGGAAU
rnacentral:rRNA from 1 species